rnacentral:rRNA from 1 species
UACGAAGGGGGCUAGCGUUACUCGGAUUGACUGGGCGUAAAGGGCGCGUAGGCGGCUUGUACAGUCAGACGUGAAAUUCCUGGGCUCAACCUGGGGGCUGCGUUUGAUACGUGCGGGCUUGAGUUCGGAAGAGGGUCGUGGAAUUCCCAGUGUAGAGGUGAAAUUCGUAGAUAUUGGGAAGAACACCGGCGGCGAAGGCGGCGACCUGGUCCGAUACUGACGCUGAGGCGCGAAAGCGUGGGGAGCAAACAGG